GCCGAAGUAGCUCAGCUGGUAGAGCGCCUCGCUGUUACGGGAUUCAGGUUCCCUGUCUCCCGCAGAGACGAGGUGGUCCCAGGUUCGAGUCCUGGCUUCGGCG
rnacentral:tRNA from 1 species